GUUUUGUACAGUACAUUUAACUGUUUAGCUCUGAGUUUGUAUAUGCUUAAUCAUAUUUCCUUGACUAAACAAUUUGCUUAUUAGAAUUUCUUGUUCACAAUCAGUAUCAUUACAACUUUAACAUGUUUGAAUUGAUACUUUGGUCACAGUAGUAAUGCCAGGUUAUGUGACUGUACCAAAUAUUAAGUCCUUCAUGGCUUGUAAUAUUUUAUACUCUCGGAUGUUGUAGUUUUCUUAUCAACUUUAAACACAUUGAAACUGAUAAUUUGGUUCUAGAUGAUCAUGCUAGAUCAUUUGACUGCACACACAGUAUUAGGUUUUGCUGGCCAUUUCUUCCUUUGAGUCUUUAGUUUUCUUAUAAAUUAUAAUAACUGCGUGAUGCCAUCUACGAUAUUCUUUCCAUCACCAAUUAAUUAAAAUCUACAUGCCUCUAUAGGUAGAAGCUUUAAAUUGUUAUUUUGUCAUCUGACUAAUCUUGUAAAUUGCCGACUUUGAGGUAUGAAAUAAAAUCUAUGGCAAUAACCAGUAGUUACAGGAGAUUCAGAUAAGUAACAUUCUUUGAUAAUUUGACUGGGGGUAUCACUUGUCACUUGUAAGCAUUGCUAAUUUAAUGUUUUUUACAAAAAUAGUUGCGUGUGUCUAAUGUUUUGAUCAUGAAUGUUAUCCUGGUUAUCUGAUGUUGCUAUCAUUUAUUUUCAAGUUUAUGUAUCUAUCUCAAUAAAAAGUCAGUGAUCAGAAACAAAGUUAAGCUUAUGUUCUUGUGAUUUUUGUUUUUUUAUUUUUUUGUUUUUUUUUUUUUGCACUUUUGAUAUUUAUCUAGUACAAUUUUCAGAUACUAGAUCACUCCCUGGCGGCAUUUUGGAUCACUCAAAGGAAUUUCCAGUUUUUUUACAUUCUGUGGGAGAUUAAGAAUAUGAAUGAUGAAUUGCUUAUACUUUUCUUUGAACUUCUCUAAAAACAAAAUCCUUUUUUCUCUUAUUUUGGCUUAAUGUUACACUUUUGCUGCCUUUGUCCUCUCAUGCAUUAUUCUGAGAGCUGGAACUGAGAUUGGGUGGGAGAGAUAUGAUGGAAGAAUCCUCUCCAUUGACUAUUCUCUGGAUGUAAGGCUGGAUUUUCUCGUACGUGAUCACUGGCACCCUGGUUUUGAAUGUUAAGAGAUCAAUAGAACCCUGCAUGUAUUUGUUCAGAUAAAGAAGCUCCAACAUAUAAGAUUUGUCUCUCAAUAUCUGGAAAAAGAAUUGGUUAUUCAUUAAUCAUCCUUCUUGCAAAGUUGAAAUGAAAGCUCAAAAGCAGAUUUAAAGAUGCGUAUUAUUUAUCAUUCAGAACUCUACGACGACUUUGUGUUAUUUCAAAUCAUGGUGUCUCCAUUAUGCUUUCGGUGUUUGAUGCAAAGCAGCGAGGGAACACCUGAUUGGCUGUCUAUGUGCAUUGAUAAUAAUUUUAUCGACGAAGUGGUGCAUUUGGUGUAUGUCAGCAAUGCACUAUGAAAGGGCAGGGCCUUUGAGUGAUGAAGGCAUGCACAUUUAUUUGUUCAGGCAUAAAUAGUGAAGCAAACCUUUCAAUGAUAUGAUAAGGAAAGAGGAUCUGUUUGUCUGGUGGGUCUCUCUUAAUGGAUGUAGCUUUCUGGAUGGCAAAUGACUCAACAUCCAAUCUAAUUAUACCUCUAUAG